rnacentral:rRNA from 1 species
UACAGAGGUCCCAAGCGUUGUUCGGAUUCACUGGGCGUAAAGGGUGCGUAGGCGGUCGGGUAAGUCUGAUGUGAAAUCUCACAGCUUAACUGUGAAACUGCAUUGGAAACUACCUUGCUCGAGGGUUGGAGGGGGGACUGGAAUGCUUGGUGUAGCAGUGAAAUGCGUAGAUAUCAAGCGGAACACCAGUGGCGAAGGCGAGUCCCUGGACAACUCCUGACACUGAUGCACGAAAGCUAGGGGAGCAAACAGG